rnacentral:rRNA from 1 species
ACAUGCYUACAACAUAGUGUURAUGCAACAUAUCMCAUCAUAACUUCRUAUUCAAGCACACUCARGCUAGAGUAGUACUAGGAUGGGUGACCUCCYGAGAAUUCCUAGUGUUUUACAUGCC